UGAGGGAAGUAUUGCACAAAUGGAGGAAACUCUGAUGCAGCAACGCCGCGUGGAGGAUGACGCAUUUCGGUGUGUAAACUCCUUUUAUGAGUCAAGAAAAUGACGGUAGCUCAUGAAUAAGCACCGGCUAACUCCGUGCCAGCAGCCGCGGUAAUACGGAGGGUGCAAGCGUUAUUCGGAAUCACUGGGCGUAAAGGACGCGUAGGCGGGAAGCCAAGUCUGAUGUGAAAUCCUAUGGCUUAACCAUAGAACUGCAUUGGAAACUGGUUACCUAGAGUAUGGGAGGGGGAGAUGGAAUUAGUGGUGUAGGGGUAAAAUCCGUAGAUAUCACUAGGAAUACCGAAAGCGAAGGCGAUCUCCUGGAACAAUACUGACGCUAAGGCGUGAAAGCGUGGGGAGCAAACG
rnacentral:rRNA from 1 species